GAACCAGAUUAAGUGGGGGCAUCCUUUCCUUUACUCUCCCCCACAUUACCUUUUUUAAAAAAAAAAAUUAAACCCCUCCCAUCUCUCAUCUGCUACUGCUUUAGAUAUUUUUUCCUUCUUCGUGUUACUCUUCUUCAGCUUCCCUAGCUUCUUCAGGUUACAUUAAGAGAAACUUAGGAGAGUUUUUUAGAUUCAAAGCAAUUUAGCUUUUUGGCCUUCCAGAAGUUUUGCCAGCACAGGCGGAGGAAGGUGGGUUUCAGUGCUUAAUGACCAGUUUUCAAUUUGAGCUACGUUAUUGAGUUUCUUAACGAUAAUUUCUAUAGAUGCUUUCAUCCCUUCAAUGGAACUGCUGAUGGAUUAUUUGUUAGCCUUCCCUCUGGUAUUCUUCAAAAUUUUUACUAGAUAUUACUAUUAAGAUUUCUUUUCCAUAAUUACCAAAAUAAAUAAAUAAAUAAAUAAACAACAUCUACGUGGAACUUGAGUUUCACAAACUUUUAACUCAAUGUUAAACUUGCUGGCUGCCACAAGGGUGGAGGAAUGACAUUAUUGGAUAAGUGAUCUUAAGAUGUGAUGAUUUCCGGAAUAUAGAGCUGGAGGGCACCUUUUAUGCCUUUUUCCUCGCAUUCUUAUCAUUAUCUUUAAAUUACUGAAUCUUUGGUAUUUAUUGGAAAUAGACUCUUGUUUGUUUCAAAUUUUGCUAUUUCUAGAUAUAUUUAUAGGAACAAGUAUUCUUCUUCUGUUUGAACUGUUAGGUAUGUAUUUAUGGUUAUGAUUUGCUAAAGUGAAGUUAUGGAGUAAUAUCAAAUCACUGGUGGUACAUAUUUAUAACAAUAUAAUUUUGAGAUGAUAUUGGUAUCUAGAUUGAAGUGUCAUAUCAUGAUACAAGAAGAGAUUUCUCCAGUUGGAGUGUAAGUGGUAUUUGCUAUAUUCUACAUAACCAGUAGGAGAUAUAGUUGUAUCUCUUUCAUUCUCAUCUCCUUCCGAUUAAGUUGUUAGAGAUUAGAUUAAUCUACAAUGUGCUGAACUUGUAAGGUAGAGAUAGCAGCACUAGAGGAUUUAUAUUAUCAAUAAUCAGUAUGGUUAUUAGCAGAGUACGACUCAGUGGCAGCUAAACAUGGUUGUCAUAGACUGUAAAUGACAUCUACCUCUAUCAGGUUCUUUAAACUGUUAUUUGGCUCCAAUAAUACAUGUUAAGAUCAUACUCGGCAUAAUAAUAUAUAAUGUUUAGACAAUAGCCCAUCAUACUUUUAUAUUCUUUUUUAUUACUAUUAAAGGGAAAGAAAGAAAUUCGUUGUUAUUUUCUUUUAAAAGGUGGCAUAUAUGAUAACUAUUAAUUUUUUUUUUUUUUUACUUUCCACUGCUUUUUGUUAGAUAUGCAGGCAUUUGUUUUGUUUGCGCCUGUAUAUAUAUAUUUUGAAUCUGCUAAACAUUUUAGAAAUUGUUAAAUAUAAUUGAUGUUCAAUUAUUCUUAUUAAGAAAAUAAAACUGUAAUAGUUAAAAGGUUCAACUAUUAUUUUUAGUUAAACUGCUUAUAUUCCAACCAACGCUAACAGAAUUCAGUUAAUGGGUGUAUAUAAGCCUUUCGGCGAGUCCUCAAUUGAAUUUUGUGGGAUUCAUAAUUGAUUUUUCUCUUGACUCUUUAUCAUGUCUCUUCUUUUCCUAAGAAGUCUUGGUCCAAAAGCUUUCUUCAUUGUUUAAUACACUAGCUCAUUUGAAGUUUCCAAUCUUUCAAGCAAUUGCUGACCUUGUUUCAAAUUGAAGAACAAUCAUCUUCAUCAAGAUCACAACUUAUUUCUUAAGGACUCAGCAUGUUCUGUUAAGAAUUACAAUAUGUGUAAUUAUGAUGCCAAUUUCUUAGUAGAAUGUACACUGUCUUAAAGGAAAAUGGUGAUUAUGGGAUUGAAUUUUGCCUUGUCAUAUGAGUACAAAGUAUAUUUGGGUUAAAAUUAACAAAGUAAGAUUAUAAAGAGAGCGUUGGGGUAUAUACACUAUAUAAGUUGGUAACGGUUUAUUACUAAUUGUCCAGUUCCUUAAGGUUGAAGUGGAUUUAGGUUAUUCACCAAUGCCUGAGGAUUCUUGUUAAAAUGUUUUAACACUUGUGGCAGAACUAUUAAUUCUCCAUCUUAUUGUUAAGUCCUUACAUAAGUUCCUUCAGAUUUAUGAUUACUAUAUAGAAAUACUUGUUUUGCCUUCUGAUAUGGGGAGAAGAUGACUUGAUGAGGUCAAAAGGUUUACUAAAUGGAGUAAUGCCCUUUUUUCUAGCUAAAGUUAUAAACCUGUCUUUUGUAUGUUCAAUAUGUAUGUGUCUGUUUAGGCAUGUUUAUGUGAUUUGGCAUCUCUAGAUCUCUUGGAACACAUAGUAACUGAGUGGAAGUGAGCAAAAGGAUUGAUGUAGCUGCUAGUUAGAGAUUAAGGCUUACUUUAGUUGUGUAGUGGAAAGGCAACAAAUUCUCAAAGGAUUGUAAAAAUUAUUCUGUCCUAAUUUCCCUGAAAAAAAGGCACACCAUCCUAAUAACUAAAUUUGUUAUUUAAGCAGACAACAGCUGAAUCCUGCACUUUCCAGGCAAGUGUAGAAUGCUGGAUACGUAACAUGUCAGACCUUCAAGUGGCUCUGAUGGCUGUGAUUUAGUAUAGGUGUCUUGCAGGUAACAACUUCAAAUCAUUAAUUUGCAAAAGAUAGCGUUUCAGAAAUAUCAAGCUGUAAUAAAUUUCAAUAUGCAUGAGCUAUGCUCAAGUUUCCUUUACAAGCCCUAUGCUUAGCCCUUCCUCCAAAGAACCAGAAAAGGUCUCAUCAUAUGUGUAGGAAUUUUGGAGGAAGGGAAGAAUUUACAGUGACAAAAUUAUAGAAUCUCAUAAAUUUUUUACGGUGAUUAGUUUUAUCUCUAUAUGUUGGAAAAUUAUUCUGCUGUUUUAAGACUAGUCCUACUAGUUCAUGUUUAUGGGUUCAUCAAGCCUUUGCGAAAGGGUGAUGAGCAGGUAGUUAAUGUUUCCUUUUUUUUCUUGUACGUUAAUGUUAUGUAUGAAUUUAUUUCUUUGGAUUUUCUCCCAUUAACUUCCUGUCUUUUUACUAUGUUAAGUUUCAUGAUGAAUAGCUUGGAUUUCUUUGCAUCUAAUUUUCAUGUUCCGAAUGGAAUUCUAAGGUAUAUAUUAGAUAUGUAUCCAGGCUGGGUACUAUUUCUUGAUUAAUAGGUACUUUGGAUCUACUGUAGAAUAUAGCUAAACUUAAUCUGCAAGGCACAUAUUUAAGAUCUAUUUUGAUCUUGCUAUACUUGCCUUUAUUUUACUGAUCAAAGUUAGGUUAUUUUGAUAGUGCAUAAUUGUUUGAGUGUUUUUUUUUUCCUGACAUGUUGCAACCCUCCUCCUUUAUCCGGGCUUGGGACCGGCUGUUUCACAAAUAUUUAGUGUUUCCACAGGCGGAGUUAUUGCAGAAUAUGCUUAUAAUUCCUUGUUAAAUAUACUGCCCAUUGUUAUGCUAACUCUAAUUUUUAUGACAUAUCUAGAUAGUAUUGGGUUGUGUACCUUUUGAGGCUUGUAUGCUGUUCAGUUUUUCUGUGCUCUGUUCUGACAGUUGCUGACAUUAAAUGCAGCCUUAGUUACUUUUAAUGCCCAUCAUUUUAGCAGGUAAUUCUGCUAGCUGCUUUUGUGAAUGCAUCUUCUAUUCGAGCAGUAAACUAGAAACAUUAUCCUAUCGUUUUCUUAUUUUGAAAUUUCACUCAUCCUAUUUAUAUAUGUUUAUGUUUCUUAAUAUCGCUCAUAUUAUCCAAUCAUGAUAUGUAUAAAAUACUGAAGAAAGUUGGUUUCACCUUCUGUCAUAUAGUCUUGUGUGCAUUGUAACAAUGGUAUUUUUUUUGGGUACCCUGAAUUGGUGUUCUCAAACAGUUAUAUGAACCAUUCUUUAUGUAUUGCAGAUAAUGGCAUCAGUUUAUUUUAGAAAUUUGAGUUGCACUAAAAUUAUGGAGAGUCUUUUAAGUGUUGUGCUGCAGAUGCUACUAUAGUUCAAUUGUUUGUAGCUUCACCUAUGUAAAUAUUAAUAUCUUUCUGAAGCACCUUGUUGCUAUCAUAUAAGUUCCAUGACAUAACUACAUUAAGAUUUUUCAUGUUAAAUUAACUUAAAUAAGUGUUAGUUGUGGUCUCCAUUGGAGUUAUCUUUAAAACUGGAAAAAAAAAGGUACUACAUUGUCCGUUUCUCCUUCAUAUUAUAUUUCUUUAUUACACUUAAUUUAUCUUUACAUAACUAGCUGAUUUUUUUGAUCAACACACUCGUGCUAAAUUUCAUUUUUUUAAUCAUUUUCAAACCAAUUUUUCUUUUGGCUGAAUGAUCAGUGGCUUUAGCAUAAAACAUCUUACUAUGAGAAGCAUAACUUUUGGAACCAGGAGCUAUUUGUUGAUACAAAUUGAAUGACAUCCAAGCCCACUUUAAUGCAUCUUCUUUUGCUAAUGCAAUUGCAAUCUGCUGGGUUACCAUGCAAAAAGCUGGAGAUCAGUUUGUGGCAAAGUAAUUGGUUUUUUAAUAAGAACCAUUUACUGUAUGAAGGAAUAUAUACCCCAAUUUUGUAGCUCUUGUUGGUGUUUCAUAGUUUUGCUGCUGUGGCUGGCUUAGCUGGAGAUGGACAGGCACGUGUAUGUCCUCCCCAAUGCUUGGACCAUUUGUGACUACCAAUUCUUUGUUUGCACCAUUGACAUCCCUUGUUCCGUAAACCUGAAUGAGAAACUUUUCUGUUAAGGUUGGUUUUUAGACAUCUCAUAGAUGACAAAUGUUAAUGGCCGAAUCUUUUUAAUAUCUCUAGGAUAAUUUUUAUUGUUACGAGUCAUUCAAAUUUAUACCUUCUUAUAUAAUUCUGUGUUUUCUUGACGAAUUUGGUUUACCUUCUUAUAGAGUUCCACAUUUUCUUGAUGUAUGAGAUUACCCUGCAACAAGACAAUGCAAUUUAGGCACUUUGAGCUAAUUCAGUAUGAUAGUAAGGAGUUGAAUGUAUCAUUUCAGGGUUUACCUUUCUGGUCAGUUCUUGAAUUUCAUCCAUUAACAUUUGGUCCUACAGCAGUGGAGUAAAUGUUACCAAAUGGUGUUUGCUUUAUUUGGCAUGCUAUUUUGAACUUAAAACUGACGUGACAUGGAAAUAGAAUUUUCAAACCUUCUUCAUACGGACACCACGAAGGCUCAUUUCCAACUGGCUCUCCAAAUUCUGUAAAUCUUUUACGGUCAAUCCAGAAAGUUCCUCGCCCAUCAUUUGCCUGUUUUGACGUGCAGGAGCAUAAUUUCAGUAAACAGGAUUUGUUUCGUAGACAAUAAAGCUUUUCAUAGGCAUACGCAGGAGAUGCAAUGGACCUUUUAUUUCUUGUCUAUUAUUGGGGCCAUUUUUACUGUUGGUGCAUUCAAUUUUUUAAGGUUAGCUAUGGAUCUGCCUUUUUUAGAACAGACGUUUAUGUCUAGGACCAUCAGUCUGUGUGUUAUUGAAGAACAAUUGAUUCAUUCAAUCUGAUCUUCAAAGAUAUGAACCAUACAUAAAGGAUAGAACAUCCUAAGCAUAAUUGCAUCAUAAAAGGCUGGAACAGAGUUACAACAGGUUGAAGGAGAAAGCUAUUUUGCUAUUCAUGUAAUUGGUUGAAAAGCAGGAGACUGUCUAUGUUGAAUUGAAUCAUGGGCAUAUUUUUUGUGUUCUGCAGAUUGCAUAAUGUAAAAUUGGAUUCUUGAUUCUGCAUUUUUGGCUUAAUGUACUCUCGUUCACGUUUGAUAUAGUGAUUUAUAUGGUAUAAAAAUCAAAAUACCUGUGAUUUUCUUGCAGGCUUUGCAGUUGUUGUCUAAGAACUGCUGCCUCCCUUUGCCAGAACUGAAAAAUAAGAUUUUGCAGUUGUUGAUACAAUGGUACGGUUCAGUCAAAGAAUUUAUUGCCAAAGUAUGAAUGUGCAUAUAAAGAAAUUCAACAAUGAAACAUUACCAUAAAAAUGCAUAUUUUAUAGACCUGACACUGCUAUAGAUAUAAGGUAAUUCACAAAAGAAUCAAAAACAUUUAGGUCAAAGGCUCUUGCUAGAUUCUUUUUUAAAUCUUGUAAAGGAAGUUGCGUUAUGUAUUAAACUAAUGAGUUAGUCAAACCAGGAUUUUGAUAGUUUAAUUAUUUGGAUGAUAAGUCACUUAUCAUGUCCUUGGUGUACUUGUCAAAGUUAUGCACAUUAUCAGCUACUUAGUUCUUUCUCUGGAUGCUUUUGGAGAUCAGAGAAUGCUUUUGGUUUAUAUCACCGGUAAAAAGUUUUAGGGCAUAUAAAAGAGAUGGAAAAAUGAAUGCAAAAGUAGAUAGAUCAUAGAUGAGUCUCUGGAUUGAUCUAGAAGCAGUAAAAUGUUUAAAGGCAUAAAGGAGAUGGAGAUAUGAAUGUGAAAGUAGAUAAAUCAUGGAUGAGUCUCUGGAUUUGAUCUAGAUUCAAGAAAUACAAGAUAUAUUUACCCUCGUAGUAUGUUGUUGAUUUGAAGCUGUUAGUUGAAAUGAAUUAUUGGAUAAAGCUUAUGCAUUUUUUGAUACAUACAAGAGUUGAAGAUAUAUCUUCUCAAGAAAAUUGUGAGAUCUCUAGGCAAAGGGGAAAGGUUUAUCCUACUUUAUAACGUUAACUGUUUGUUGAAUGCUAAUUUUAGAGAUCUAAACUUGAGGGGAAGAUAAAAGAGGCUUUACUACUGUCAACUCUUGUACUGGAGAUUUCACCAUGGUGAACUACAAUAAUUUUUCAUGGACAAGCUUGUAUGGGAGAGUUCAAGGCUUCAUCAUCUAUUCCAAUCUUCAAAGAGCAAGACAGGUUGAAUGGGAUCAUCACUAUGAGACAGUCAGUUAUAUGCUUUUCACAUUCUAUUGCACUACAUUUAUGUAAGGUGUAAGGUGUUGCCUUGUUCCAGCAUUACAUGCAUACAGUAUAUUGAUCUUCUACCCACCAAGCCUCAAAAAGAUCCUUCUGUGAUGACUCCAUUUAGCAAUUUAUGUAGGAAUCUGGGCUACUAAACAUAAACAUAAAACAUGUAAGUUAAGCAUAUUACGAAGAACUAUAUACAACAUGAAGACUAGUGGAUGAUUUGACCACAAACCCUCUCAUUGGAGUCUUACUGGUCAGAAUUAAGACCUGCUCAAACUGUUUCAAUCAUCUAUGCAUGGUCUGGACCUUUUUUUUUUUAAUUUUAAAAUAAAUUCUCUUUUGCAGAGCUAAAAGUAUGUCCUACACUCGUAGAGUUUCUAGACAUCAUCUCAUCAUAGUAUUUCCUUUUUAUUAGUUUCAAAAAGUCACUUGCUAGUUGUACCCAUAGUGUAUCAUUUGAAUAUAGUAUUUUAUCUUUUCGCAGCUGUUUCCUAUGGUUUAUGAUGAGAUUGCCUGUCUUCUAGAAAUUAAAAGUCCCAACCUCAGAAGAAAAGAGUAUUUUGGUGGGUAUAAUGACCAACAGAGGUUUAGUUAAAUCUUAACAUAGAUUUGGACAGAGCAGAGCUUAGUUUUAAAAUAAUUCUGGUGUAAUUUGAUGAGAAGCAUGAACAGAAAUUAAUUUUUUAUGUUGCCUAGCCUUACUGUGAAAAAGGUCUUAGAAUGUUGGAUUAUUCAAACUGAUUCCUAUUUGAAGUCCCUGGUCUCACCUGAAGCUAAUAAUUUGCUUCCUAGAACCAUAUUUAGCUGAUUUUUACCAUGGGCCUUGUUUCAUUUCCUUGAUGUCUUCUAUUUAUAUCCUAUUGGUUCUCUUUCCAAAAAACCCUGUAGCUAUAAGGACACAGCCCUAGCAUCGCAAUUUAGCCUAUGCAUGCAAUUAAUCGUUCUCCUAUUCCACCACUCACAAGAGGAGUUAAUGGUAUGCAUUCAAAUCAAUUAUUAUCUUUUAGGCACUGGUGCUGCCGACUUUUGGUCUAUGAUUUUAUAAAGUCUAGACCCGAAGGUAAUGUCUAGCUAUAAAUUCUGCAUGCAUUUAGUGUCAGCAUCUUAUACCCACCGCAAACCUGGAAAAGUACAAAAAAAAAAAAAACUGCUAUGUUGCUCUACUUGUUUAGUGAAAACAGUGUAAGCAAAGUUGGGAAUAUUGAACUUGCACAUCACAUAUCAAGGUAUGCUUGUUAAUGUUUGGUGGCAUGAAGUGAAAUUUAUUCAACCUUUCAAUCUUACCUUCUUUUCCAGUAGAAGCUAAAAGCAUGCAGAUUCACUGAUUUUAAAUUAUGCAUUCGGCAUGCUCUGAAGGUAAAAUACAAUAAAUUUGAAGAUUUCAGUACCGAAGAAUACCUUGACUUCAGAGGUUGGAUUCUCCUGUUGUUGAUGUUCCUCCUUUGUUUUGUUGUAUCGCUCGAUUACUGAUUUCAUGCUGGCAAAGAAUAGAUUCUACUUGCAUCAGAAAAUCUGUAAUUUCUAAAGGCUUGAAAGAGAGAAGGAAAACAGACAAAAUGAUAACACAUAACAUCCAAAAUCACCACACAUGGGCUCUCAGAAGUAUGACGAUAUCAUCCGUCAACUUCACUGCUUUUGUUAUCUGCCUUUUAUAUAAAAUUGAUAUCAUCUGACAAUUUUGUGAUUAUAUUAGUCAACCAUAGAUCCCUUCCAGAAAGAUAUACCAGCUGCUGAACAACUGAAGUUUCAAUCUUAAGAAGUAAGUUCCCUUUGUUGUUGAAUAUGAAAGUUAACUCUCAACUGGUCUGAGUGUUGUCCUCUUUCACGCUUGCUUUAUUUAAUCUUGUACUUGGCUGUUCAACUAUAACAUUAUAACUAUAGAGGCUGCAUUCUUUUAAUCUCUACUUUGCCACCUUGCAUUUCCCUCGUAACUUUGUUUAUGAAUCUAGUUAUUGAAGAAGUCAAUAUUUGAGAAAAGAUCAUUGAUCCUAUUGUUAUGCUUCAUUCUCCAUUUUAGGCUUUAGGGUAGGGUUUUACACUUUGACUUCAUGACUGCAACAUAUGCAUAUUUCUAUGUCACCCAGACUUGGGGGUGAGUAUUGGAUGGGAUAUCUGUCCCAAAAAAGUAUACUCGAAUUAUUGUUCAAGUUUUUAAGCUGCUAUAUCAUCAUGUUGAACUUUUUGUCA